GGCUUCCCAGGGCCUGAUGCAAAUGAGGCUGGGAUUUGCCGCACUGCCAGGAAGAGGGUAGGACUGGUGUUUGGCACAGACAGUAGAUUUCCUGUGACUUGAACCCAUUGGAUCCACCGUGGGGUGGGCCAGGCCUGUUCAGGCAGAUCCAGUCUGGGAGGCACCACCCCUUCCCUCUGGGUUUUCAGUAGUGAAAGCCCUGUGACCAUGUCCCCGCCUCACCACCAGCCCCCUGAAACGAGAGGUACCUCUCCAUGUGCUUGUUUGCUUAUUCAGUGAACUCUGAGCCUGGCCUUGGGCUGGACACAGCUGGGGACCCAAAGGACUCAGUUCUCAGGCCUGCCCUCAGGAAGCUCCCAGUCUAGGGGAGACAGAGCAGGACCAGAUAGUCCCAUCUGCCAGAUCAGGCCUGGGCUCAGGGAGGGGUUGAAGUCUCUGCCUAAUGAAUUAUGGAGGAGGUGGGUAUUGAAGCUGGGGCUUUGAAGUUCAAGUAGGAGUUUGCCAGAUAGACACGUGUAGGAAGAACAGUCCAGGCAAAUAAAAGCAGUUCACAGACCUGUAAGGGUAUGUAAAGGAGAUGAAUAUGUUUAAAACCUGUUUGCCCCACAAAAGCCAAGCCAGGGACUCCCUGUAGCCAAACCUGCAAGCACAAGGGAGCAGAUGGGGAAACUGAGGCCCAGAGAGGAGAAAUGAUUUAUUCAGAAUGAGCUUUGCUUCGGUAUCUGUAGUUUUUGGCAAUUUGGGCUCUAGCCUUGACUUUGAAACUAUUUUUCAUAGCUAAUGAAGAUAAGCCAUAUUGAGCAAUACAGUUAGGAUUCAAAAGCACGAAUAAGCUGACAUGGGGGAUAGAUGGCUUCCGGUGGCAUUUUCCCAUUUCCUGUCACAGAGGACAAGCCACAUAACUUGUGGCGCCCAGGGAGAAAUGAAAACGGAGAGCCCCUCAUUCAAAAAGUAUUCAGAAUGUCAAUAUGGCGACAGCAGAGCCCCUGGGUGCGGGGCCUGGGCGAGGCCCUGAGUCACACACCCACGAAGCCAGCCCUGUCCCGCCGUGACCUUCCUAGGCGGGGACCACUAUUACCUGUGUUUGGCUGGUGGGCGAACGGCACUGCAGAGCCGUUGAGUAGCUGGCACAGGGUCACGGAGCUGCAGGGAGGCAUGGACUCGACCUCUGCCACGUCCACCUAGAGAAACCACAAGGUCCCUAUGGGUUACUGAGAAAGCAAAAUGAACAAGCGCCUCGCAUCUGGCUGUUACGAGUAUUUCCAGAUGAGCUUCUGGAUCUUUCCUCAGAAAAGUCCACCGAGUCACCUGAGGGCUGCAGUGAGCCAGGCUUGAGCUGGAGAAGAGUUGGGGGUCCUCACCCGGUACCCACCCCCAACCCCAAGUCAGAGGGGGACUUGGCUUGGCGUUAUCCCCAGAGUAAUGGGGAGCCGUGGAGGAUGUGGAGCCCCCCAGAGAUGCCGCUGGGGCAGGGCGGGCCUAGAAGGGGCUGCAGGGACGAUGGAAUGUUCUGGAGCCGGGGAGCUGGUGGCUGCACAGCUCUGUGCUUGCACUCAAAGCGAUUGAACUGUAUCAUUGAAAAUGCCUGAUUUUAUGUGAAUUUCACCAGAAGAACAAGAAGACAAUCGGGGGGGUGCCUGGCCAGCUCAGUCCACGGAGCAUGCGACUCUUGAUCUUGGGCUCAUGAGUUUGAGACCCUCAUUGGGCGUAGAGUUUACUUAAAAAAAAAAAAAAAAAAAAACCUUGAAAACAAAAAGGCAGUCGCCGCCGACAGUCAGAGGGGUGAUAGAUUUCACAGCAGGCUCAGCCUUGCUCCCUCGAGCCACAAACACGCUGGUGGGUCUGUCGCGGCUCAGUGCGCAAACAGUUCUGUGGCCAUUGACCCAGCAGCUGUGUGGACAACAGGGGUCCCUGAGAGGACCGGAUGAGAAGGGCAUCUGGCCUCUGUGGUCUUCCUCCAAACCCGCCCCACCCCCCCGGUCUAACCCAGAGAACCACAUUGCACAAAAUCCAUUCAGGAGAUAUUUUAAAAAAUACCUAAUGUCAACACUGGCCAGUCUUCAAAAUCAGGGCAAGUCCGGUAAACUAUCACAUCCCAGAGGGGCCUAAGGAGAUGUGACAACUGAGUGUCGUGUGGGAUCCCAGUGGGGUCCUGGGGCAGAAAAGGGACAUCAGGGAGAACUACAGAAAUCUUAAACAAACAGAGGAGAUUAGUUACUAGCAUAUGGAUGACAAAUGUCCCACACUAAGAUGAGAGGUUCUCAGCGAGGGGAAGGGUGCCAGGCACACAAGGGUCCUCCACGCAACCUUUGCAGCUUGCCUACGGUUCUAAAAUUAAGCCGAUAACAAAUUAAAGCAUGGGCCCUGACCCCUGUCCUUCCCCCAUGCUAUUGCUCCUGCAUGGAGGAGCCCACCCAGGGCCAGCUGUCUGCACAUCCAUGUCCAAAACCCCCUGCAUGAAUGUCUUCUCUCCCAGAUUGGUUAGAAUCUUUUGGUUGCAAGUGACAGAAACUGCAACUGAAACUAGCUUUUUUUUUUUUUAUUUUGUAAAUGGGAAUUUUUUUGCUCAUGGAACUGAAAGAUCCAGGGAUAGAUCUAACUCGGGGUUCUCCCCAUCAGCACUGCUGACAUUUGGAGACAAAUGUUUCUUUGCAUCAAGCAACCAUCCUGGGCACUGGGGGGCUGGGGGGGAGACUGAGCAGCAUCCCUGGCCCACACCACCUCCAUGCCAGGAGCUCCCCCAGGGUGACAAGCACAGGUAUCCCCAAACAUCGCCUGGUAUCCCCUGGGGGGGCAGUGUCACCCAUCCCCCGGAUGAGACCCAUUGAUCUGACUGCUUUCAGGCUUGGCUAGAUCCAAGACCUUCAAAGAGUGUCACCAACCUCUGUCUAGCACCUCUUGGCUCCUUCACAUGGGCCUCUGGAGAGCAGCUGAAAGCUUGGACAAGAUGGUGUAGCUGCUUGGAGAGGUCUGCAGGCCAAGUCCAGCCUGUCACCCUUCUUUAUAUACGCAGCAUGGCACUGAAACAGACUUUUAUGUGGUUCUUUUUUAAGGUUUUAUUUAUUUGACAGAGAGAGAGAGAGAGCACGCACAAGUAGGGGGAGGGGCAGAGGGAGAGGGAGAAGCAGGCUCCCAGCUGAG